GGGUAGUUUGACUGGGGCGGUCUCCUCCUAAAGAGUAACGGAGGAGCACGAAGGUUGGCUAAUCCUGGUCGGACAUCAGGAGGUUAGUGCAAUGGCAUAAGCCAGCUUGACUGCGAGCGUGACGGCGCGAGCAGGUGCGAAAGCAGGUCAUAGUGAUCCGGUGGUUCUGAAUGGAAGGGCCAUCGCUCAACGGAUAAAAGGUACUCCGGGGAUAACAGGCUGAUACCGCCCAAGAGUUCAUAUCGACGGCGGUGUUUGGCACCUCGAUGUCGGCUCAUCACAUCCUGGGGCUGAAGUAGGUCCCAAGGGUAUGGCUGUUCGCCAUUUAAAGUGGUACGCGAGCUGGGUUUAGAACGUCGUGAGACAGUUCGGUCCCUAUCUGCCGUGGGCGCUGGAGAACUGAGGGGGGCUGCUCCUAGUACGAGAGGACCGGAGUGGACGCAUCACUGGUGUUCGGGUUGUCAUGCCAAUGGCACUGCCCGGUAGCUAAAUGCGGAAGAGAUAAGUGCUGAAAGCAUCUAAGCACGAAACUUGCCCCGAGAUGAGUUCUCCCUGACCCUUUAAGGGUCCUGAAGGAACGUUGAAGACGACGACGUUGAUAGGCCGGGUGUGUAAGCGCAGCGAUGCGUUGAGCUAACCGGUACUAAUGAACCGUGAGGCUUAACCUUACAAC
rnacentral:rRNA from 1 species